rnacentral:rRNA from 1 species
CUCGUAGGCGGUUCGGUAAGUCGGGUGUGAAAAUCCAGGGCUCAACCCUGGGACGCCACCCGAUACUGCUGUGACUAGAGUCCGGUAGAGGAGCGUGGAAUUCCUGGUGUAGCGGUGAAAUGCGCAGAUAUCAGGAGGAACACCAGCGGCGAAGGCGGCGCUCUGGGCCGGUACUGACGCUGAGGAGCGAAAGCGUGGGGAGCAAACA